UGGGGAAUUUUGGACAAUGGGCGCAAGCCUGAUCCAGCCAUGCCGCGUGCGGGAAGAAGGCCUUCGGGUUGUAAACCGCUUUUGUCAGGGAAGAAAUCUUCUGAGUUAAUACCUCGGGAGGAUGACGGUACCUGAAGAAUAAGCACCGGCUAACUACGUGCCAGCAGCCGCGGUAAUACGUAGGGUGCAAGCGUUAAUCGGAAUUACUGGGCGUAAAGCGUGCGCAGGCGGUUUUGUAAGACAGAGGUGAAAUCCCCGGGCUCAACCUGGGAACUGCCUUUGUGACUGCAAGGCUUGAGUGCGGCAGAGGGGGAUGGAAUUCCGCGUGUAGCAGUGAAAUGCGUAGAUAUGCGGAGGAACACCGAUGGCGAAGGCAAUCCCCUGGGCCUGCACUGACGCUCAUGCACGAAAGCGUGGGGAGCAAACAGGAUUAGAUACCCUGGUAGUCCACGCCCUAAACGAUGUCAACUGGUUGUUGGGAAGGUUCCUUCUCAGUAACGUAGCUAACGCGUGAAGUUGACCGCCUGGGGAGUACGGCCGCAAGGUUGAAACUUAAAUGAAUUGACGGGGUCAUAGCUGUUUCCUG
rnacentral:rRNA from 1 species